rnacentral:rRNA from 1 species
AUUGAACGCUGGCGGCAUGCCUUACACAUGCAAGUCGAACGGCAGCACGGGAGCAAUCCUGGUGGCGAGUGGCGAACGGGUGAGUAAUAUAUCGGAACGUGCCCAGUCGUGGGGAUAACGUAGCGAAAGCUACGCUAAUACCGCAUACGAUCUAUGGAUGAAAGCGGGGGAUCGCAAGACCUCGCGCGAUUGGAGCGGCCGAUAUCAGAUUAGGUAGUUGGUGAGGUAAAGGCUCACCAAGCCGACGAUCUGUAGCUGGUCUGAGAGGACGACCAGCCACACUGGGACUGAGACACGGCCCAGACUCCUACGGGAGGCAGCAGUGGGGAAUUUUGGGACAAUGGGCGCAGCCUGAUCCAGCAAUGCCGCGUGCAGGAUGAAGG